CCUUGAGCACUCUAUCUCCACCUCCCGGCCAUCAGAGGUGGGUGGGUUCAUCGGGGAUCCCCCAUCAACUUGUGGACAGUGGCUGAAUAUUGCAGGGAUGACAGAUGACUAUUAACAUCCUUGUGCCUGAUAGCUACCUAUGAAGCUAUGGUGCGGCACGGGAAUCCAAAUGCUCAUUUUCAAGGGGCAAUGCACAGCAGGUGGUGUUGAUCAUUCCGGCACCAGCAACAGCCAUCUCCCAGCCCAUUAAGCGCCAUGAUGGAGCGGAGGCAGGCUGGACACCCUGCCAGGAGUGAUGUGUUGAGGCCGUGCUCUCAUCUUCUCAUUUCAGGCAUGGGUGAGUUAUUGAGGGGCCAUGCUUGAUCUCCAUUUGACUUCCCUGCAGCUCAGUAGCCGUGGACCGGUCUGCUACAGUCCUCUCAGCACAGAGAUGCAGUUACCAUUUGUUCCAAAGUGGCUUUUGUUCCCGCAGCUUAAGAUGAGGUAGAGUAGAAGAAGAAAUCUCUUUCUCGUGACACCCAGAGCAAAACCAGGCGGGACUUAAUUCAGGCACCAUCUUUCAUCUGUCUAAUUCAAAUAGAUGCGUUGCAACAGAUGAUUCUUGAGAAGGAAUAAAAACUUUAAAUGUC